CAUCGGGACUGCUGUGGGUGUUGCCAUAUCUGCUGGCUUCCUGGCCCUGAAGAUCUGCAUGAUUAGGAGGCACUUAUUUGAAGAAGACUCUUCCGACCUGAAAAGCACGCCUGGGGGCCUCAGUGGCAAAACCACAACUUCUCCAAAAGAGAUGCACAGGUGAUUGAGCUGUAGGCAAGCAGUGACAUGAAGAGGUGUUCUAGCCCCAUGGAAAAUGGCCCAUGGUUAACAUCUCAGGAUGUUCUGCAUCCAACACCCAAGGCUGGUAAUGAACUUUCACAUGGACUGAAUAUUGGAGGCAAAUAAUAGAAGGAAUAGAAUAUACAGUGCCUCUGUCCUGAAGGAAAAUAUCAUGCCUCUUCUGGAAGAAGCAGACUGCACAGAGGAAGGAUUGAGCAAUUUAGCCUGAAGUAGAAGAAGGUGGACACCAAAAACUUCACCCUGUGUUGGAGCUGUUCAUGCUUCCAUGAGGGCAUGGUGUCCAUGUCC
rnacentral:sRNA from 1 species